UACUAAAAUCAGACUAUGCUGCAUGAGAACAACUAACCUCCUCUAAAAGACCCUCACCACGUUAUUUUUUACCUCGUGGAAUCCAGGAGCUGACUAAGUUGGCUUGGCUGUACAUAGGAGGAAGACCCUGAUCCCUAGUGCUCAACACAAAAACGCUUCAAUAAUCCCCUGAGAUUGUUUUACCUUGCAACACUCUCUGGAAAAUUGUUGUUCCAGGAAUGUAAUGAAAAGAUCUGCAAGAGAGUACAGCCCCUGUUGACUGACUUGUCUUGA
rnacentral:lncRNA from 1 species